UACAGAGGUCUCAAGCGUUGUUCGGAUUCAUUGGGCGUAAAGGGUGCGUAGGUGGCGCUGUAAGUCGGGUGUGAAAUUCGGAGCUUAACUCCGAAACUGCAUUCGAUACUGCGGUGCUUGAGGACUGGAGAGGAGACUGGAAUUCAUGAUGUAGCAGUGAAAUGCGUAGAGAUCAUGAGGAAGACCAGUGGCGAAGGCGGGUCUCUGGACAGUUCCUGACACUGAGGCACGAAGGCCAGGGGAGCAAACGGG
rnacentral:rRNA from 1 species